rnacentral:rRNA from 1 species
GUGGGGAAUAUUGGACAAUGGGGGCAACCCUGAUCCAGCCAUGCCGCGUGAAUGAUGAAGGCCUUCGGGUUGUAAAGUUCUUUUGGAGGGGACGAUGAUGACGGUACCCUCAGAAUAAGCUCCGGCUAACUUCGUGCCAGCAGCCGCGGUAAUACGAAGGGAGCUAGCGUUGUUCGGAAUUACUGGGCGUAAAGGGAGCGUAGGCGGUUUGGGUAGUCAGAUGUGAAAGCCCAGGGCUUAACCCUGGAACUGCGUUUGAUACUGCCAAGCUUGAAUUCGGGAGAGGUGAGUGGAAUUCCCAGUGUAGAGGUGAAAUUCGUAGAUAUUGGGAAGAACACCGGUGGCGAAGGCGGCUCACUGGACCGACAUUGACGCUGAGGCGCGAAAGCGUGGGGAGCAAACAGGAUUAGAUACCCGAGUAGUCC